CAAUAGCGUAUAUUUAAGUUGUUGCAGUUAAAAAGCUCGUAGUUGGAUUUCGGAUGGGACUUGCCGGUCCGUCGUUUCGAUGUGCACUGGCCAGUCCUAUCUUGUUGUCGGGGACUAGCUCCUGGGCUUCACCGUCCGGGACUAGGAGCUGACGAGGUUACUUUGAGUAAAUUAGAGUGUUCAAAGCAAGCCUACGCUCUGAAUACAUUAGCAUGGAAUAACACGAUAGGACUCUGGCUUAUCUUGUUGGUCUGUGAGACCAGAGUAAUGAUUAAGAGGGACAGUCGGGGGCAUUCGUAUUUCAUUGUCAGAGGUGAAAUUCUUGGAUUUAUGAAAGACGAACUUCUGCGAAAGCAUUUGUCAAGGAUGUUUUCAUUAA
rnacentral:rRNA from 1 species